GGAGAUAGGACAUUGGGGGGGGGUGAGGGGGUGAGAGAGACACCAGCAGAUACUCUGGGUACAAGAGAAGACACUUGUGACUUUGGCUUUAGGUAACUGCGGUGAGAUCCUCUCCGACAUGAGAAUAAACCUUGUAUGAAGAAUAAUUUUGUUGAACUACCUUCUAUUUUCACCUUUAGGAAACAUACUUCUUUAUAUGCCCAUAUUGAAUCACGUGGCUAUGGAAUGUUAAGAAGUAUGUAACCUGAAGGUGGGAUCCCAGCUGGACAUGAAGUAUGUAACCUGAAGGUGGGAUCCCAGCUGGACAUAUAAGUAUCUUCUUAACACAUGAGCUGGUAGAAAGCAGACACGUGAAAACCACACCAAAUGUUGACGUGUCCCAAAGUUUCAAGAAACAAUACAAUGGAUGUCAGUAUAUAACGGAAAAUGCCAGCUUUGCCUGGUUGCAGCUGGUGAAAAGGAACCACAUCGACCCUACACAGGAUUUGGUCCCCUUCAACCAGCCGCAACUGAGCAGAUAACAUUCUGAGAGGUAGACCACUGCCAGGACAAGAUGGACGCGGAAUUAUUCACAUUCAUGUGUAUUUUUCUGAACAAAUAAAGUAAAUGAAAAUUAAA